GAAAUGAGGAUAUUAAUGUUCACUAUGCAGAAGUUAUCUGAUAAUGAAAUGAAAUAACAUGUGGUCUGGCAGAUACUUGAACUUCAAUAAAAGACAGUGGUGAUGGUGAUGAUGAUUGACAUGUCACAAGGCAGAGCUGGAACAGCGAGAUGCAAAAAUCUCAAGCCUUCAAAGCCAGCUCCUGGAGAAGAGAGAGGGCCUGGCAGCUGAGCUGAAUGCUUCAGAAGCAGAGGAUCUAUCAACUGCAGACCAAGCAUAGGGAGACGCAGACAAACCUGGAACAGUAACCCAGCCAGCUCCAAUCGCUCCGACAAUGCUUGGUGGCUGGACAGUGGAAAGCGGGAAAUGUGCCACAGCCAUGAGGCAGGAAAUCGACUCUGACCCAAGCCUUGAGGUCUGGUAAGUUUCUUCACUUUUGGAAAGUGAAGUGAAUGGUAACCAAGCCUUCCUUACUCAAAGGAGUAAGAAGUAUUCUGUCUUAUUUUGGUUAAUGAGCUAAAUAUCAAAAUUGGGAAGCUCCGGCAGAUCUGGAAGGAUGGGUUAGCGGGGAGGAAUGGGGUUUGGCAGGAUAGACAAGGGCUAACCAAACUCCAAUUGUAAGGUAAGCCACUGCAGCCAAGCAGAUGUCUUGGGCAUUGAUCCUUGCAUCCUGUUAUUGAUUCACUCUUGGGGCCAAGAAUGGGGUGGACCUAUGGAGGACAAGAGGGGAAAUGACACCAUCCCAAAGGGCCACAAAGCCCUAAUCAGUGAUAAAGUGUUAAGUGGUCAGCCUGGAGAUGAGGUUUGCUCAGAUCUAUUGAUCUGUGCACCCCUGGGAUAUAAAUCCUACUGAAUUUGCUUCCGUGGAUAUAAAUAUUUAUAAUUAAAAUAGCCGAGGGGCCUCUUACAGGCACAAGAAAUGUGACCCAUCCCAAGAUUAAGUUUGAUAUCAAUCUCUUCUAUCUCCCUACUUUGUACACUCUUCUCACUCUCUUCCAUCUGUUUAUAAAUCUCUGUUCUGUGUUUGGAACCCUAUUUUGCUCACUCUCUGAGUGACCGACAGGCACAAUGUCUCAGACUAUCAGAAGCUGGAAAAAAUCCAUUCUUGUGAAUGCAGCUUCCAGCUGAGGAGGGAAUGCUGCUCUCCCCAGUUAACGUCAUACCAUUUCAGGUGCAUUCAGGAGCCAGACUCAGAAAGAAAUGGGCUAUUUGGGGAGCAGGAGGAAGACUUUUUUGUUAUUGUUUUGCUUUUGCUUUUAGAGGAGCACCACUUUGAAUCCCAUAAAAAAUAGGCUGUGUAGCACAAAUGUGUAGCCAAUGCUGAGACCCUGUGCUGGAUCACUCUGCAAUAUUAAAUCUAGGAGAUCAACUUGAAGAGCCCCAUUCUUCUAUUUCUGAGCACCUCAUAAAUCUAAAUUCACAUGAAGUGAACAGAGUAUCAAUUAUCCAAGAGAAUGGAAAAAGAAAGGAUGCUAUUGAGGAACUAGUGGGGGACAGAUCCCUCGAAGCCAGCUGGCAAGAUGGAUACCAUUGAUCAAAGCUUUGUCCACUGAAAAGACACUCUUAUACAGGAUUAGGACCAUUCAGCUUUAAUUUUUUGAAAUUUGGGUGAUAGGGAGAAGUCUUUGAAAUCUGUCAUUGUGUUGCCUAAACCCAUCAUUUGCUUUGGUCCUAGGAUACAAAUAUAUUUACCCUGAAUCUAUCAUCUACUUUGGUGUUUGGAAUACAAUCUUUUCAGUUUGGGAACUUCUAUUUUUAUGAAGUGUCUGUCUUGCCUCAAUGCUUAUAUCAUGAAUGGAGUGUCUGUUCUCCGCAGUUUUCAUUAAAUUAUAUUUUUUGCCUACAAAAUUAAUUAAAUACUUUUGAAUUCUGUCCUCAAGGGUGUGUGUCAGUGGCUGUGAAUACAAUGUAUAGAAUAUGGAGAGAAUUCAUUUGUUGGGUUUUUCUUCUCCUGAUUUUACAAUAUUUAGUCACUCUGGUCUAUGUCAAUAAGUUAAUUUAUGUUUGCCUGUGUAUCUUUGUGCAGGUGUCUGAACUUGGGAAUCAAUGAACAUAAGCAAGUUAGUGAUCCAUGUUUCCCUACCAUUUGCAUUAACUGUGUCUUUCCCAGAUCCAUGUUAAGCUUUGGUUUUUUUCUUCUUUUCAUUCAAAGGUGGUAAUUUCGUAACUCAAAGAUAGUUCAUUUGUUUCUUUUAGCACAUAAUUGAAGAUUAGGGACUAUUUCAGUUGUCAGUUAAAGAUCAGUAUUUUGGACUCCAUUUGGCCUACAUAAUUUAUACAGAAUAAAAGUCUAACAGGUAUAAUCACAAUAGCCUUGGUUUAAGAAUGUCACCAAGAAUACUUGAGGUAGAAAAGCACUUCAAACUAAAAAUGGAAGAAUAGUCUCUCUGGUCAGUAACUUGUAUGCUUCUGUGGUAAUGGAGAGAAUUGGAAUGCAGUUCUCUUUGUUUGAUUUAUAUGGCAACACCCAGAAUGUGAAAGGUGUAUUUUACUGUGGAAAUAAACUUUCAACAUUGACCUAGACAAUCAGAAGAGUAAGACUGUUACUUAUAUCAUGCUUUGCUAGGUUAUAAAAUAAAGCAUAACUAAUAAGAAUAGAUUCUUAGGGGGAAAUCCUGAGAUCUGCAUCUUUCUCCUAUUGUUUGCAAUAUUAGUCAACAUUUGCUUGUACGAUCCUUCUGAAGAGUAAGCUUAUUUGGAGAAAAUGAUCUAAAUUUCACAUAUGAAUAUACUCUACUAAUUGAGUAUGUAUAUACAGUACUUGUGGUCUUAGUGCCACUAAAUCUAAAUAGCAUACAUAAACUCAUUGCUGUCUUGUGCUACAGGUCAUAUUUGAAAGCUUGUUGCCAGCUAUAGGGAAAUUAUUUUAUUACGGCAUCAUCUAGUCACUUAAAAUAAUAAGUUUUGGGG